rnacentral:rRNA from 1 species
UACGUAGGCAGCAAGCGUUGUCCGGAUUUAUUGGGCGUAAAGAGCUUGUAGGCGGUUUGUCGCGUCUGCUGUGAAAAUCCGGGGCUCAACCCCGGACUUGCAGUGGGUACGGGCAGACUAGAGUGUGGUAGGGGAGACUGGAAUUCCUGGUGUAGCGGUGGAAUGCGCAGAUAUCAGGAGGAACACCGAUGGCGAAGGCAGGUCUCUGGGCCACUACUGACGCUGAGAAGCGAAAGCAUGGGGAGCGAACAGG